rnacentral:rRNA from 1 species
CCUGUGACUUACCUAUGUUGCCUUGGCAGGUCGUGGUGUGUAGCGUGAUCGCUAUAAGGGAUCACCGCCUCGCACCACGCUGAAAGACCUGUCAAAGGACCCCUAAACUCUGUCUUACAACUGUAUCUCUGAGUCUAUUAUAUAAACAAGUUAAAACUUUCAACAACGGAUCUCUUGGCUCUGGCAUCGAUGAAGAACGCAGCGAAAUGCGAUAAGUAAUGUGAAUUGCAGAAUUCAGUGAAUCAUCGAAUCUUUGAACGCACAUUGCGCCUGAUAGUAUUCUGUCAGGCAUGCCUGUUCGAGCGUCAUUUCAACCCCCAAGCCCUAAUCUGCUUGACGUUGGGAGUUUACGGAGACGUAAUUCCUCAAAUAUAGUGGCGGAGCUAGGUCGUGCUCUAAGCGUAGUAACCACACUCUCGCUUCUGCAGCCGGCCUAGGUCUUGCCGUAAAACCCCUAUAUUUAUUUUUUUACUGGUUGACCUCGGAUCAGGUAGGAAUACCCGCUGAACUUAAGCAUAUCAA